AGCCUUGAGGUGUUGUACAUGUCGGAUUGCAAACCCGAAGUCGUCGACUAACGUCGACCGGGGCUU
rnacentral:tRNA from 1 species